rnacentral:rRNA from 1 species
AGCGUAGUCGAUGGGAAACAGGUUAAUAUUCCUGUACUUCUGGUUACUGCGAUGGAGGGACGGAGAAGGCUAGGCCAGCUUGGCGUUGGUUGUCCAAGUUUAAGGUGGUAGGCUGAAAUCUUAGGUAAAUCCGGGGUUUCAAGGCCGAGAGCUGAUGACGAGUCGUCUUUUAGAUGACGAAGUGGUUGAUGCCAUGCUUCCAAGAAAAGCUUCUAAGCUUCAGGUAACCAGGAACCGUACCCCAAACCGACACAGGUGGUCGGGUAGAGAAUACCAAGGCGCUUGAGAGAACUCGGGUGAAGGAACUAGGCAAAAUGGCACCGUAACUUCGGGAGAAGGUGCGCCGGCUAGGGUGAAGGAUUUACUCCGUAAGCUCUGGCUGGUCGAAGAUACCAGGCCGCUGCGACUGUUUAUUAAAAACACAGCACUCUGCAAACACGAAAGUGGACGUAUAGGGUGUGACGCCUCCCCGGUGCCGGAAGGUUAAUUGAUGGGGUUAGCGCAAGCGAAGCUCUUGAUCGAAGCCCCGGUAAACGGCGGCCGUAACUAUAACGGUCCUAAGGUAGCGAAAUUCCUUGUCGGGUAAGUUCCGACCUGCACGAAUGGCGUAACGAUGGCGGCGCUGUCUCCACCCGAGACUCAGUGAAAUUGAAAUCGCUGUGAAGAUGCAGUGUAUCCGCGGCUAGACGGAAAGACCCCGUGAACCUUUACUGUAGCUUUGCACUGGACUUUGAGCCUGCUUGUGUAGGAUAGGUGGGAGGCUUUGAAGCGUGGACGCCAGUUCGCGUGGAGCCAUCCUUGAAAUACCACCCUGGCAUGCUUGAGGUUCUAACUCUGGUCCGUAAUCCGGAUCGAGGACAGUGUAUGGUGGGCAGUUUGACUGGGGCGGUCUCCUCCUAAAGAGUAACGGAGGAGUACGAAGGUGCGCUCAGACCGGUCGGAAAUCGGUCGCAGAGUAUAAAGGCAAAAGCGCGCUUGACUGCGAGACAGACACGUCGAGCAGGUACGAAAGUAGGUCUUAGUGAUCCGGUGGUUCUGUAUGGAAGGGCCAUCGCUCAACGGAUAAAAGGUACUCCGGGGAUAACAGGCUGAUACCGCCCAAGAGUUCAUAUCGACGGCGGUGUUUGGCACCUCGAUGUCGGCUCAUCACAUCCUGGGGCUGAAGCCGGUCCCAAGGGUAUGGCUGUUCGCCAUUUAAAGUGGUACGCGAGCUGGGUUUAGAACGUCGUGAGACAGUUCGGUCCCUAUCUGCCGUGGACGUUUGAGAUUUGAGAGGGGCUGCUCCUAGUACGAGAGGACCGGAGUGGACGAACCUCUGGUGUUCCGGUUGUCACGCCAGUGGCAUUGCCGGGUAGCUAUGUUCGGAAAAGAUAACCGCUGAAAGCAUCUAAGCGGGAAACUUGCCUCAAGAUGAGAUCUCACUGGGAACUUGAUUCCCCUGAAGGGCCGUCGAAGACUACGACGUUGAUAGGCUGGGUGUGUAAGCGUUGUGAGGCGUUGAGCUAACCAGUACUAAUUGCCC